AGCAUGGCACUCUCGGGGCACUUGUCCAAGAUUCUGUUAAGAGCCACUACGAGACCCUGUUUUAUUGUUUUCCCUUCCCUUCCCCUGCUCCAAUUCUCUGCUUUCCAGUAACAAGCAAUAACAACACUGAAGCUAUUGAGAGAGAAGAAGAACAAGUUUGAAGAGGUUCCACUGUUUUGGCUUUGGUCCUUCCUCCCUGCUGGUGCCUUCGUCUCUGUCAUUCCCUACUCAGUCUUCUCUGCCAUUAGUCACAGAUUUUGCAGUUUAUUGCUUAGUUUUAAGGUGUGGAGCCUGGACCAAAGUAGUAGCUUCAUCCACACUGAACAUAAAA